AUAGAAGGAACCCUUUGUUGACUUAUAGUCAAGCAGUGUCAAAAGCACAGCAGGAAAUUAUCAUUAGCCAAUCUGGACUUCAGCUUCAUCAGCUUCUGAAGGAGAGCAAUUUAGGUAGAAAGUCAAUCACAUCUGUAACUUCGGUCAACCUAUCCAUGUGAUUCUUCUCUGGAGGAGGGUGACUGAACUUUCCAAGACAGACUGAACUUUUCUGUUUACCACCAUGAAACAUAACUACAAUGAAGAAGAUGCAGCCUUUAUCUCUCUGCUCUGUAUGAAAUUUGACCUGUGAUUCAUAAGAGCAAUGAGAUGGAAGAAAUGGACUCUAAAAGAAGCUCAAAGGCAGAGAUUUUGCUGAAUGAUGACAGCAGACCGAAGGAGCCUCCGGAAAUUUUAGGUCAGCAUAGUACUUCUCUGAAAAUAUUCAAAAGUGAAGGAGUUGAGAAUCCGGCCUAAAGUAGGCAAGACCAAGAGCUUUGUGAUUUGCACAAGGAGGCUUCUCUCCUAAUCCAGGUAAGGUAGAAAGGAGG
rnacentral:lncRNA from 1 species